AACGAACGCUGGCGGCGCGCCUAAUACAUGCAAGUCGAGCGAGAAGGUGUAGCAAUACACUUGUAAAGCGGCGAACGGGUGAGGAAUGCAUGGGUAAUCUACCAUCGAGUGGGGAAUAACCAGCCGAAAGGCUGGCUAAUACCGCGUACGCUUCCGGGUUUUCGGGUCCGGAAGGAAAGCCAUGCCGUGGGUAUGGCGCUCUUUGAUGAGCUCAUGUCCUAUCAGCUUGUUGGUAGGGUAACGGCCUACCAAGGCUUUGACGGGUAGCUGGUCUGAGAGGACGAUCAGCCACACUGGCACUGCGACACGGGCCAGACUCCUACGGGAGGCAGCAGUAAGGAAUAUUGCGCAAUGGGCGACAGCCUGACGCAGCGACGCCGCGUGGGGGAUGAAGGUCUUCGGAUUGUAAACCCCUUUCGGGAGGGAAGAUGGGGCAGGUAACUGCUCGGACGGUACCUCCAGAAGCAGCCACGGCCAACUUCGUGCCAGCAGCCGCGGUAAUACGAAGGUGGCAAGCGUUGUUCGGAUUCACUGGGCGUACAGGGUGUGUAGGCGGUUUGGUAAGCCUUCUGUUAAAUCUUCGGGCCCAACCCGGAAAGCGCAGAGGGGACUGCCAGGCUAGAGGGCGGGAGAGGAGCGCGGAAUUCCCGGUGUAGCGGUGAAAUGCGUAGAGAUCGGGAGGAAGGCCGGUGGCGAAGGCGGCGCUCUGGAACGUACCUGACGCUGAGACACGAAAGCGUGGGGAGCAAACAGGAUUAGAUACCCUGGUAGUCCACGCCCUAAACUAUGGAUACUAAGUGUCGGCGGGUUACCGCCGGUGCCGCAGCUAACGCAUUAAGUAUCCCGCCUGGGAAGUACGGCCGCAAGGUUGAAACUCAAAGGAAUUGACGGGGGCCCGCACAAGCGGUGGAGCAUGUGGUUUAAUUCGACAAUAACCGAGGAACCUUAUCCAGGGCUUGACAUCUUGGGAAUCUCUCAGAAACGAGAGAGUGCCGCAAGGAGCCCAAAGACAGGUGCUGCACGGUCGUCGUCAGUUCGUGGCGUGAGCUGUGAGGUUAAGUCCUUGAACGAACGAAACCCUCGUCCUAUGUUGUAUGUUCAUAGGAGACAGCCCUGGUAACAGGGAGGAAGGCGGGGAUGACGUCAGAUCCGCGUGGCCUUUAUGCCCUGGGCAACACACGUGCUACAAUCCGUCCUACAAAGGGUCGCCAAACCGCAAGGUGGAGCUAAUCCCAGAAAAGGUCGGUAAGUUCGGAUUGAGGGCUGCAACUCGCCCUCAUGAAGCCGGAAUCACUAGUAAUCGUGGAUCAGCAUGCCACGGUGAAUACGUUCUCGAGCCUUGCACACACCGCCCGUCAAGUUGGCCGAGUCGGUAACACCAGAAGCGUCGGGAUUACCCGGCACCAAGGUGGGAUCGGUAAGGAAAGCU
rnacentral:rRNA from 1 species